rnacentral:rRNA from 1 species
GUAAACUGAAGAGUUUGAUCAUGGCUCAGAUUGAACGCUGGCGGCAGGCCUAACACAUGCAAGUCGAGCGGUAACAGGUCCAGCUUGCUGGAUGCUGACGAGCGGCGGACGGGUGAGUAACGCAUAGGAAUCUACCCGGUAG